AUGAACGCUAGCGGGAGGCUUAACACAUGCAAGCCGAGGGGUAUAGUUCUUUCGGGAACUAGAGACCGGCGCACGGGUGCGUAACGCGUAUGCAACUUGCCCUACUGAAAAGGAUAGCCCUUCGAAAGGAGGAUUAAUACUUUAUAACAGAUUUAAUGGCAUCAUUAGAUUUUGAAAGAUUUAUCGCAGUAGGAUAGGCAUGCGUAAGAUUAGUUAGUUGGUGAGGUAACGGCUCACCAAGACGAUGAUCUUUAGGGGGCCUGAGAGGGUGAACCCCCACACUGGUACUGAGACACGGACCAGACUCCUACGGGAGGCAGCAGUGAGGAAUAUUGGACAAUGGGUGGAAGCCUGAUCCAGCCAUCCCGCGUGUAGGAUGACGGCCUUAUGGGUUGUAAACUACUUUUAUCUGGGGAUAAACCUACUUACGUGUAAGUAGCUGAAGGUACCAGAAGAAUAAGCACCGGCUAACUCCGUG
rnacentral:rRNA from 1 species